rnacentral:rRNA from 1 species
AACGAACGCUGGCGGCAUGCCUAACACAUGCAAGUCGAACGAGACCUUCGGAUCUAGUGGCUCACGGGUGCGUAGCGCGUGGGAACCUGCCCUUAUAUUCGGAAUAACUCCCCGAAAUGGGUGCUAAUACCGGGUAAUGUCUUCUGACCAAAGAUUUAUCGCCUUUGUAUGAGCCCGCGUUGUUUUAGCUAGUUGGUAGGGUAAAAGCCUACCAAGGCGACGAUCCAUAGCUGGUCAGAGAGGAUGAUCAGCCACACUGGGACUGAGACACGGUCCAGAAUCCUAGGGGAGGCAGCAGUGGGGAAUAUUGGAAUAUGGGCGAAAGCCUGAUCCAGCAAUGCCGCGUGAGUGAUGAAGGCCUUAGGGUUGUACAGCUCUUUUACCCGCGAUGAUAAUGACAGUACCGGGAGAAUAAGCACCGGCUAACUCCGUG